rnacentral:tRNA from 1 species
GGCUUCAUAGUGUAGUGGUUAGCACGUCUGCUUUACACGCAGAAGGUCCUGAGUUCGCCCCCCAGGUGGAGCCA